AUUGAACGCUGGCGGUAUGCUUAACACAUGCAAGUCGAACGGCAGCAUAGUCUGUAGCAAUACAGAUGGGUGGCGAGUGGCGGACGGGCGAGUAACACGUAGGAAUCUGCCCUAUAGAGGGGGAUAACCCGAGGAAACUCGGGCUAAUACCGCAUAGACUCUGAGGAGUAAAGCUGGGGUUAAACCUGGCGCUAUGGGAGGAGCCUGCGUCUGAUUAGCUAGUUGGUAGGGUAAAGGCCUACCAAGGCGACGAUCAGUAGGUGGUCUGAGAGGAUGAUCACCCACACUGGGACUGAGACACGGCCCAGACUCCUACGGGAGGCAGCAGUGGGGAAUAUUGGACAAUGGGGCAACCCUGAUCCAGCAAUACCGCGUGUGUGAAGAAGGCCUUUGGGUUGUAAAGCACUUUAGGCGGGGAAGAAGAUAAUUUGUUUAAGAGAUGAGUUAUUUGACGGUACCCGCAGAAUAAGCACCGGCUAACUCUGUGCCAGCCGCCGCCGUAA
rnacentral:rRNA from 1 species